rnacentral:misc_RNA from 1 species
GUUUGCAUAACUGUGACAUUGCUUCUUUUUUGCUGAACGACGACAAUGACGACGACGACGACAUGGACGACAAUAACGACAACAUGGACGUCGACGACAUGGACGACAAUAACGACGACAUGGACUCGUAAUUUAAUUGUCCAUGUCAUCGUUAUUGUCGUCCAGUCGACGACAAUAACGACGACAUGGACGACAAUAACGAUGCAGCCGCCGCGACUGGCAUUCGAUCCCGAGACAUCGUGCUCAGCGUGCCGCGCAACUCCCAAAGCCUCUACUCAACCACGGCGGGCCGUGUAUGUUCUGCACUACUAUUCAGUGGCUCUGAAGGAUGGUCACAUUGAGCUACGCUUGAACGGCGGUGCUGGGGAAGUGGCCUCGCGUUCGGAACAGCGCUACAAUGACAACAAAUUCCACACCAUCACUGUCAUCAAGAGGCAUCGAAAGUAAGUUGGUGUCACUGCAGUCAUUCUUUAUUAUAACCUACCAAGGCAAACACAGACUGUUCACUUAAAGGAGUGCUCGCAUGAAAUUUUUCUGUUGCGUUUUCUUUGUAGAUUCUUUUUGGGUAGCUGUCAACACCAUAAUUAUGCUACAAAGCCUCAAUUCCUCAAGAGCAACACAAAUAAUUAGUUACCCUACCUGUUAUGCCACCCAUUCAAAAUGCAUGCUAAGUGCAGUGAGAAUUCAGACGUGAAAAAGGAAAAUACUCGUGUCAU